GCUGCCGUGAGCGGCCUCUCUCGGCCUCGACGCUCGUCCCCCCCCCCCCAUGCUGGACUAUCGCGCCUGCUUUCCUCCCGUCCCCGGCACUGGCCUACACGGCAGGGCUGUUGUCCCGCCUCUCCCGCUCAGCUCAGCGCUCCCCCAUCUUUUACGCUUUAAGCCCUGCUCUGGUUCUGAGUGAACUGGGCGUGUUUCUCUUGGAGAGGCCCGACUGGAAACAGGGUAGCGCUCCUCGGGGGCUUGAAGGGUUGCCCCGCGGAGGAAGGCCAGCAUCUUUUCCUGCUCAUCCCGUAGUGUAGGACGCGAGUGGCAGGUUCAAGUGACAGGAAGCCCGACUCCGGCUUGAGAUCAGGAAGAGCCUGAGUAGCAUAGCAGGAAGAGCCAUGCCUGGAAAGGUCGGAGGCUCUCCCACUCCGGCAGCCUUCUAGAUGCAGCUGAGCAGCCCCCUGAGAGGGAUGGUUAACUUGUACCCUCCGGCCUCUUUCACGUCUAUGAUUGAGCCUCCUACUCUCUCUUGGCACUGCACGGCUGGAUACUUACUGCGUUAUUUCUCUCCGAUGUGAUCGAGACAACGGCCCAUGUCUCCGUGACUGGCUAACAUUCCUGAAAGAUGCAGCAUCACUAGCCGACAGGAAGCGACGCGUGGCUAGGCCCUUUCCGCUUGGCCCACGGCCUCCUCAGUGGAUGCUGCAGCUGUGAGCUGGGCACACAGAAGCCUCAAGCGCUGCUCGGGCUCCGCAGGAAGGAGCACCUCUGGAUGACUGCUCUGAAAUACAGCCCAUGGCUAGAGCAAGGGGCAGGGGAGACAUAAGCAGGGAGGAGCUUAUGUUUUCUUCUAGUAGGAGAGAAUCCAUCUAGGCGCAGCCAUUUCCUCCCCCGGAAGGGCAGAGGAGAGGACUGUCAGUGAUAAAGAGACUAGCUGUGCAAGAAAAGUGCAUUGAACAGUAGCUUUAAAACCAGAUUAAAGGAUCAGUUUGCCACACAGCUGGAAGGAGGAUCAGGCCACGGCAGCCCCGUGGGGUCUCAUUCCUGCUCGCGCACCAGCCCAACACUGGCGGGAGAAGAGCCUGCGGUCCCCCGUCCCGGCAGGGCCACCACAGUUGUCCUAACAGAGCAUGCCCCCUCUCGCACGCCUGCGCUCUCCCCGGCCCCACUGGCCAUCUCUUGGUGCCGCUCUUGGUGUUGCUGUCACCGGAAUUCGUAGAUGGGGGCGCUGUACUCGGGAACGUGCGUCAAAUUCAGGGAUUGAUACCUGGAAGGGGAAGCAAAGGGGUUUCACUUGAACGGCCCUUCCCUUAUUCCACUUCCUGUCGGAGCAGCAGCUUGCAGACUCGGUACCAUUUGUCCGCUCUCGCCCAGAGCGGACCGAUCCAGUUUCCCCAGUAAUGUGCUCUGAGCCCCGCGAGGGAGGCAGGACCUUGGUCCGGGGGGCGCUCGGCCAGUCUGGGGCACAAGUCGAGCGCGCUGAAUUGGUCUUCUGCCACACCACUGACUGCAAGACUCAGAACGUGUCAAAUAUGCCUGCAAGCAGGAUACCUGACACAGGCAGGUGGACUGGGUUUCCGUCAGUCAUCUCCACCCACAGUAAGUGUGUUCUAGUGUUUGCUUUUACCCUUCUAACAUGAUUUGAAAGCCACCGCUUGAAACAGUGCAAAGAGAAAAAACAGCAGGCAUGUUUAUCCAUUUUAAACCCAAAUUAGUGGCAAGAAGCUACACAGCGCAUUGCAUCCCUUCCACGGGCUAAUCAAACCUCGAAUCCCAAAGUCCGAAAGCCAAGUGGAAGAAGAAAGCUCUCCUGCCGGCCCUCCGCACGGAAGUUAGCCACUUACCAUUCUGAGCUCCUGUGAUAGUAAUAGCCCUCUAUAGAUGCUGCAGAUUUCUGGAAGCAUAUGUAAUAAAAACCAGCAAAGGAA